AUUGAACGCUGGCGGCAGGCUUAACACAUGCAAGUCGAGCGGGGACUUCGGUCCUAGCGGCGAACGGGUGAGGAAUGCUUGGGAAUCUGCCCAGUAGCGGGGGAUAACGUGUCGAAAGGAACGCUAAUACCGCAUACGCCCUACGGGGGAAAGGGGGGGAUCUUCGGACCUCUCACUAUUGGAUGAGCCCAAGUCGGAUUAGCUAGUUGGUGGGGUAAAGGCCUACCAAGGCGACGAUCCGUGGCUGGUCUGAGAGGAUGAUCAGCCACACUGGAACUGAGACACGGUCCAGACUCCUACGGGAGGCAGCAGUGGGGAAUAUUGGAGAAUGGGGGAAAGCCUGAUCCAGCCAUGCCGCGUGUGUGAAGAAGGCCUGCGGGUUGUAAAGCACUUUAAGCGGGGAGGAAUGGCUCUUGGUUGAUAACCUUGAGCAGUGACGUUACUCGCAGAAUAAGCACCGGCUAACUCUGUGCCAGCCGCCGCCGUAAUAC
rnacentral:rRNA from 1 species